CUUGCCAAGUUCUACUAUGUUAUGAACACCGCAGUUGAAAUAAGAAGCCAUCUGUUAACAGAGAUGCGUAAUAAUAAUAUGCUGCAUGUAAAAUGUACUUAUUCUACGUUAGUUCAAUGCGCCAUGAUAAUUAAUUUUCAUUAUUUUAAGUCUUUUUGGGCUUGACAGUGUAGUACCCUCUGCGUAUGAUGUAUCUCCUUUAAACCGUAUCUCCUUUAAACCCCCCCCCCCAUCUGUGUAAGUAAAGUACUUACUGUAUAGUGAAGAUUACUUUGUGCACCUGUGAACUCGUAACACUUGUUCGCCCCCACCUACAAAUUUGACAUUGGUCAAAUUGGUCUAAUAAUAUUUGAUUAACUCUUAUGUUGAGAAACACGAAUGCGAAUAUAAUUAUAGACUGUGAUGAGUUGUGUCUCUUAGCCUGGGAAUGUAAUGUGUACCUUUUAAGUGUGGUAGUGUGGUAUUGUAGAGACUGGAUUUAUUUUGAUUCAUUAUUUUGUUGAAUCAAUCAAUAAAAUUAUAUGUGCGUUUAUCAAUACUGUGUUAUUAUACAUAUAAUUAUACUAGCCUCUACACAGGCUCUCCUUUUUCUGUUCUUUAUCACAAUCGUUCAAUAAGAUAAAAUACUGUAUUAUUGGUUCAAUGAGAUAAAAUACGGUAUUAAUUGGAGGAAUAAAGAAAGAAAUAGACGUAGAGUUAGGAAAAAGGAGAGCCUGUAUCGGGAAGUCGCGUGAGGGUAGAAGGGUGAAAAUGAGCGUGGGCAUGCUGAGCUAGAGGAUGUUGGACUGCCCACGCAGAGGUCUACGACUAAUAAAACUUUGCCUGCAGCAAGCUGGACAUAGACUUGGAACUGGAAGUUUGCAGGCACUAGCUAGCUAUACCUUAGGCUUGGCUAGAUGAUCUACUAGUCUAGAUUGUGUGUUUAGAUUCUAUCACUAUUACCUGUUCUUGUGUCUUUCUACAUGCUAUAGUAGAAUAGCAUAGUCAUCAUUAUCAUAUAGCAGGUAGCUACUGCCACCAGAGCUGGCCACACUGGUUCUCUGAUCUGACUUGCAGCACAGCUUGGUGCAGGUGGUUGUCUCAGUGCAAGUACAGUACAGUCUUACUCUGAAUACGUGGGAGAAUACCUACGUCAAGAUUGUGGGCUACAUAUUGCCCACGUUCAUAAAAAUCCUUGUGGAUCACGCGAUUUCCCAAACCAGGCCUUACUUUUUCUUAACUGUACGCCCAUUUCUUUCUUUGCUGCCUCACUAUGUCUUUCUUGGAUGAACAGUGACAACAGCAAGAAAAAGUAAGGCCUGGGAACGAGGCUAUAAUUAUACAUUGCUUCAUUUACGCUAUUAUUAUUAUGCUGUGCUAUAUUAUUAUACUUACCAAAUUCACUUGAGAGAGAUGCAGCAGCAGCAAGUAUAUUCCAGACUACAGACUACAGAAACUCUUUGCAUAAAAGGUGCUCUUAGCGCGCGCGAGCGGAUUUCCCUUCUUGUAGGGGAAGUUCCCCCUAACCGUGUGCAAAAUGGUGGAUAAAAGCUGUAUACGGAGACUUAAGUACAUGCUUUUGCUCUAUUUAGCAGGUAGUACUAAGCAAGUUAAAAGUAUAUCUACUGCGUUGGUUACCUAGAAAGGCUCAAGGGAUUUAUUGACAGUGCAUGGUUUUAGCUGUAUAGCUGCUUUUAUUGUUACCUAGUAUGAACGGUAGCUCAGAAAAGCUUACAAGCACACUGUAAAUUAAUUUUCUAAGAGUAUGUGAUCCUAAAACCCGGUACCCGGUACUCCGUAGCUUCAUCUUCUUAUCCGCAUUUUAUAUUGAUUGUGUGCGUAUACUAGCUAUGUUAUACGCUAUGUAUACUAGCUAUUGAUCCCGCCCCAGUACUAAAUUAAAUUAUAUAAUAUGUUAGACUCAACAGAAUCUGCAUUCUUCACUGAACAAAUUGGUAUAUGUUACUUUGAAUAAAAAUAAAUAAAUAAACUAAAAAAAUAGGAAAAACAAUAUACCGUAAAAAUGUUCUCGAAAGGUGAUGACCCAGUCCUUAAUGUACCUGAGUAGCUCUUAGCUCUAAGAAAUAAAGCCCCGCCCACUAAUUAAUCAGUGGGGUAGUCACGAGAGCCUAAAGACAGGAAUAUGUCCAAGACAGGAAUAUGUCCAUGACUUUGACCUUAUAAUUAUGUGAUGUGGGGGCGGCUCCCAGCUCCAAACUUUAAAUCUUCACUAGAUCUAGUGCAGAUCCAUACAAAUUUCCCAACAUGUUGUAAGACUAUUGAAAUUAAUACAGCAAACAUUGUUUUAUUGCACAAAAAACAAUCAUUAUGGUGAAAGAACAUUCUGCCAUUUGUGUUCGCCUCUUCACUUAUGAGUGCCUCGGUCCAAGGACAUGCUACAAUAGCAGUAGAACUCCACUCAAAAUUUGAAUAUGUAUACUCAGUGUAGCACAAGCCACACAGUAACAUGGGUAAAGAACAUGGGUAAAGAAUCCAGAGUGAACGACAGACUCUUUGUAGACCAAGACGUUGCUGAUCUCAAGGAGUUGCUGAUCUCAAGGAUUGCUUUCACUUGUACAGUACGGCCUGGGAAAUGAGAUAGUAUUACAAGUGAGAUACUAAAGUGGAGUACAUGGACAUAUAGCGGAAAAGAAGAAACAAGAGUGAAGGUGGUGCAAAGGGUCUGUCUUUACAAACAAGCGUUACUAAUACUAGAUCUACAUCAGACAUGUAUCUAUACCAUACCAUGUACCAGCCAGCUAUUGUGUAUACUGCAUGUACUGCACUGAGAUGAUAUAAUAUAAUUAUAAUUUUUUAGACUAGAGUCUUCCUAAUUUUAUCUUACAAUUUUAUCUUACUUGUGCCAUAGAUAGUAGAGGGUACAAUGUUCACCGACUGCAGUCUGUUCCCCCUAGCCCCAGACCCUAGCUAGCUAGCUCUCAUCUCUCAAGCUCUGAAGAAAUGUGUAUACUGCACUGAGAUCAUAUAAUUAUAAUUUUAUAGACUAGACAGGGGGAGGUCACUACUAUGCACACUGCACUACCGUUCGCUACCGCGGUCAAGAUGUGGUCAAAGGGUCAAGGGGGUAUUUUCAAGGGGUCAACAAGGUAAAUACCCUAGUGAAAAUUCCUGGCAAUAGUUUGCAUUAUCUUACAAGGUAUUUCAAAUUGUUCAGAGGUUUAUCAUGACAAGAUUUUGUGUUACAAAAUCUUGUACAACCAUUCAUAUGAUUUAGCAAGACAAUGCAUGUGAACCCUUCACAUUAUUCGUAGUGGAUAAUACGUUUACACUUUAUAUAGGCCCGCCUAUUAAACUGAUAUAAAUAAUGAAAGAGAAUUGAGAGUGAUGAUUGUGAUGAUUGUGUUCUAUGGCACAUAGUAGUUUAUUCUAUAGUCUAGUCUUUGACCUCGUCCUGGAUGCGAUCGGUCCAUCAGGUCCAUCAUCAUCAUCAUCAUCUACAUGAUCAAUUUCUACAGUAUUAUUCAUAUAUACAUUAAAAUGUUAUGUUUACCUGCUGAAAUUGGACGGGGCGCCGGAGUUUCAGGAAUUUGGGUGACACCAUUUUCCACUACAAAUAAUUUGUAGGUUGCUACAGACUUACUUUGAAUUUGUUGAUUCCUUGGCAUGUUGAUGUAUGCCUGCGCAUGAUGCUCCAUCAUGCGCACCGCAACUUUAGCAUAUCUCACUACUGCGGGAUAUGUUGUGAUGACAUAGGGUAGUUUGGGGUCUGCCAUGCUUACAGUUUGCCAUGCUUACAGUUGAGCUGAUGAUGAGUGCAAUGCUCAAUUAAGGCUUUACUUGUUAAAAAGGUGUCUAUGUUGCUGUAUAAACAAUUACCCACAACAAUUAAUUACCCUCUGACUGAAUCAUGUCAAUAACAAAUUAAAUUAAUGGUAUUCAUAAUUGUUUGGUAUUUGGUAUUUUGACAAUAAAGGUGUGGCAGGUGCUUACAAAAAUACAUUUAGACCGGAGUGCUUUCAACUGAACUGCUCUAGCAGGUAGUAUGUCCUUUUCAAUUAGUAUGUCCUUUUCAACUUUAACAAUAAAUGUACUUAGGAGGUCAACUGACUGAUGCAUUUCUAAACUUGGUCUGCCUGGCAUACCAGCCUCCAACAGUAGCGAGCCGGACCUGGCUUGAGAAUAACAAUUGGUACAUUAUCCACAAGGCAGAAUUUUAAAAUCGAUCUGUACUGCUCGUACUGCUCCUCUCCUUCAGCACAGAAUGUGCACAUUGUACUGUUCCGUUUAGUUUUGUGCUGACCAUACUCAGUUGAAUAAAAUAAAGUUUUGUUGUGGUGAUAUAAGCUGCAGAUUCGGCCCUGUUAUAGAUAUAAUGGCACUUCUAAAUUCGAGGGAGAGAGUUGUUAGGUUGAUUGGUCCAACAACAUAUGUAGAGGGCAGUAUUUGCUUUCCUAUAUUGUGUUCGGAUUCAUCAAUAGACAAAAAUGAUAGGGUUUGUUCAGUUUCGGUUGAUAACAGCUUAGAAUGUGAUAACAGCUUAGAAUGUAGCGAGUUCAGAGUUUCCUUCAAGUUCAGUGAGAAUACUAGUUGGUCUGCCAAUCUGUACGUACCAUGUAAAUAUCUCAUUAAAUGAAUUAAAUGACCAUUCAUGCUUUCAAAUCCAAAUGCUGAAAAUGCCCAGAGAGGUCCCCACUGCCUCACUUGCCUCACUUGCUGACAGAGAUGUAUCAGUAAAUGAGUGUUCAGUACACAGUUUCUUUCACCAUACAGUUCCGGAAAAAGUAGAACAAAAAAAAGUAGAACAAAAUCCUCUAACAUUUCCCCUGCUGCAUCGACUUGAGUUAGAGUAAGCUUAGGUUGUAACAGGAUGUGUAAAGCAGUAACAAGGAGGGCAUAGUGGUGCAAGUAGAGAGGAGGGAGAUGUGGUACAAGUAAUGGUAGAUGUGGUACAAGUAAUGGUAGAGAAUAAUAUAGCAACCAAUUUCGAUACUCUUUUCCAGUGACUCCGGUGUUUUUGUAUGCUUCGUGGAGCUCUGGUGAAGUCAUGAGGGGGUCUUUGUUUGAUUAAUGAAGAGUCUAUGAUAUUUAAAUGACGGCCUAAAUAGAAAGGAGUCCACAAACACCUUCCAAAACGCAGUGCAUAUAAUCAAUAGGAGCACCAAGAGGCAAAUCCACAAUUUUUGAAAGCGUACUUGUGCCUUUGAUACCAAAAACUUUCCGGCCUUCCAGCUCAGUUGUUGUUCUUAGGGCAUGUUCCGUUCCUGGCAAAUACACACGUGUACUACAAUACGUAUCGACUCACCACCUGAGACAAUUUCAAUCAUAUCAGGGCAGCUACCAACAUCCAUAUCAACUCUAGUGGAUUUUAAUGAACUUAUUGAUUCCAUUCUAGGACCUCUCACUCCAUAAGCACUGAGCUCUCAAAUGCAGACAUGGAUGAAGCAUAUGCAUGAAGCAUAUGCUAACAUAAUCACAGAUGUUUCACUUGAAAGUCAAUCAGCUGAACAUCCAACUCCAAUCACAGCCUCACUAAAGGAUUACAACCAUAAAGAGAAAAACCAUCAAAAGAUAGAUCUCGUCGCUUCGCUGCUGGUACAAUCCCCUUCAAUAAGGAGCUACCCUCAGAACACGAUGUAUUUCUGUAUGACUUUUGGACAAUUCUCCCUGCAAUGCAAACAGAGUGCUGUGCUCAGCUAAGGUGUUUCUUUUGGGCCAGAUAUGUUCAGAGUUGGGAAAGUCAGUUUCCAGCUCCAUUAAAACUAAUUCAGUAGUUAUCAAUUUGUUCGAAUUUACUGAUAGCGACACAUUUAAGCUUACUGAAGGCUUCAAAAUUUCUGCUAUUUAAUGUGAACACCAAGGUAUCAGGUUCAGUCUACAACACCAUGCUGAUUUAGACAUACAGGCUCGAGACAUACAGGCUCGAGACCAGAAAAUGACCCAUACUUGUAGAAAAAAUCAUAUCAAAGCGCUUCAAUGUUCAGUACCUUGUAAAAAUGGCUUGGGUAUGCUUCGGCAGACAACACAUGGGAACUUCCAACAAAAUUAAUAUUCAACAAAUAUUCCAAGAGACAUACUCGAUUCAUUUGAACAAACACAACUGACUGGAACUUCCACAACUGAUGGAGCGAGUACACACGCAGAGUGACAAGCAAACCUGUAAAUCAGUAACUUUUCGAGUCACCAAUCAGCUGUCAUGGAUAAUUAUAGAUAAAUGACAUGUUGUACAAUUUGUGUCAAUGAAAAUCUCUUUUCUUGAGCUACCUGUUCAUGUAGUGGAUCCACUGGACCAGCAUGUACACCCUUGCAUUGCAUUGCAUGAUAGACAUGAAUAGUGCAGUCUGUUGCGGCGAUAAGAGCUUAAUUUUUUGCGGUCAAGCAUAAUAUCUAAGGCUGGUCAAGCAGUCAAGAAGAAAAUUGGGGGGUCAAGAAUCUUGACGGUAGUGUUCCUAAUUUUAUCUUACUUGUGCCAUAGAUAGUAGACGGUACAAUGUUCACCACAAGGAGGCUUGCAGUCUGCCUAACUAGCUAGCUAGCUAGCUCUCAUCUCAAGUACCAUUUGCAAUUUUAUUUGCAAGGUUCAAAGGUGGACAUUGGACAUAUUCCUGUAUACGUAUUUAGUCGCUUUCUUUUUGUCGAAGCACUAUUUAUUUCUAUUGAGAAUGCGGAGUUUAAACUACUAGCUAUGCUCAUUAUACUUAGUGCUAACAUGCGCUUAGCACUACUGGUCUUUGCAACAGAGAAAUAACAGAAAGUUGUUUGAGUAGCAGCCUCAUCUUGGAUAGUAGGCAUCUUGGAUAGUAGGCUCCCGGGACACGAUCAACAAUUUUUUUGACAAAGUAGAAGGAUAGAUCAGCUAAGGAAGGCUUAUGGAGGUUAUCUAUUAUGGCGUGCCGUUUGUAUCAAUAAUGAGUUGUUGACAAUCAUAGAGUGUGCGCAUGUGUGUUUGGUGUGCGCAUGCGCAAGCAUGAUUAAGCACAUGCAUCUACCUCUGGCCUUGAGAGCAGUGUGCUAUGAUCUACCUCUCUUCUUUGCCUUGAGCAGUGUGCUAUAUAGAUCUAGUAUCAGUAAUGGCGCGAGAGUUAUAGAGAAAAAUCGAAAUUGUAGAAGAAGAGUUUAAGAGAGGUAAGUGCUAUAAGCUAAGAAUUUAUCUUUUCCUGUCUGCAGGAGAACUCACUGAAUUUGGGUAUAGAAAACGAAAAAUUGCACUUUCCAAAGAAGUCCUUACUAAGGAACUAGAAGAAGGUGAAAUUACGGAAGAGGGAUUCAGAAGGAAGGUUGCUCGCUUGGACCAACAGUGGACCCUCAAAAAGUGCUGAAGAUAUCGGAAAAGAGUUGAGUAAUGUCAAUCCCAGCAUAAAGAGCAAAAUUAGUGAAUUGUUGAGCCCCAAGAAAGCCAGGGUUCGUUCCUGUAGUGACCCCAGAGGUUAAGGCUGGAGUUAGAAAGUUCCAUCGCAAACAAGUCACAGCUGUUUGUGUGGACCAAAACACAUAAGUUGUCUCUUAUGUUUCCCGAAUAUUUGAAGGUAACUGGCUCUAAGGAUUUGAUACCUGCUGAUUUGUCUCAAUGUGGAUGUUGUCUCAGUGUGGAUGUGUAUUGGACAUUGUCGAUGGAGGUGAAUUGAAAGAAGAAAAAUGUAAUAAACUCGAUUAAGAGUCUUGGCACAAGUAAUCAAAGCAGGUACAUGUAGGCAUUACUUUCGUAUUAUAUAAUUAUAAAAUAAAUUUUUUAGUGUUGAAGAGCUACAUGAUAUUUCUUUAGAGAGCAUUCUAACAGGGCACCAGUGUAUGUGCCUUGAUGUAUCUUUUAAAAAAAGAAAAACUUUGCUGUACAAGGAGAGGCAGUGGCAUCGAUGGCGACAGGCUGGUGAUGAAACGCUGGUGAUGAAACUGAAUUGGAAUCUAUCAUUGAACAUAGAGAUUAUGUUGAAGUCUCUACAAAACAGAUGGAUGAGUUUAAAAAAACACGUUUCUCUCCAGGCACUCUAAAACUACCGUGCUGCAAAUUGCUUGAAUAUUAUAUGCAUUGUGUGCCUGGAUUGUUGAACUUCGAAGUAACCCAAACUAUGUCUUUAAAUAAAUACUGAUGUCCGUUAUUAAUUUUUGGGUGUUCAUUAUUCUGAGCAUCGAUGGUGCUGUAUCUAUAACAAUUCUUUGUACGCAAUCACAUUAUAAUUGGUCAAAAUUAAAUAAAAAUUAAUGCCAUGAUUACACAGGAUGCAAGCAAUACAAGCAAUAAUUAACAUUAAACAUGAAUGUAUAGUCUCAAGCUCACUAAAAAAGAUAUAGUGAUAUUAUUGUUCGAGCAGCUCCUCAACAGCAGAUAGAGUGUUAACAUAUAUAUCGAUACCAUAUUGCUCACUGUCAGCUACAGGAUCAAUCAGGGAGUUAAGGAUCUCAAUACAGUUUUCUGGUAACCCUAUUCCAAUGUGAGGUACAUUAACACCGAUUGAGUCAGGUACUGGAGUAACAAUUAGUAGUCAUCUGUAACAACGUUGGUUCCUUUGUAUCUUCCUUUGGUAAAUAGUUUUAUUGGGGUAUAGCCUGCAGUUUUACUAAUGCAAUGGUUAUUCCAACCAUUUAUGAACGAUUCCAAUGCUUUGUUUAUUCGAGGAAUAAAUACAAAAUGCAAGGCAUAUAGAUGAACAGCAUUUAAUGGAUUCAACAGCUCACACCGCUCCAUGUAGUGGUGAUACAAUUGGGUUACUGCUAGGAAUACACAGUCUCUCUAUCCUUGAUUAUGGACACUUGAUUAUGGACACUUGCUCCAACAAGGAGCAACUUCAAUAUUUUCUAAUCCCUGAUCUGAACGGACACGAGACGGUAUACUAUAUUGCUUUACCGCUU